rnacentral:lncRNA from 1 species
CCCAUAAGAACCCCUAUAAAUAGAGGGCACCCCCCACUCAUUAAAGGCAGGUCAUUUGGAGAAGAAGAAUUCCUAGCGAAGCAGAGCUCUGCACACUUGAGUUCCGGUCCGGUUUCCCGCGGAGUUCCCCGCUUGGCGCUUGCUUGCGCGUCUUGGAGUACUGGUCGGGUUUCACCCCCAUCAGUUGGCGCCGUCUGUGGGACUCAAAGAUACUCACGACAAAAGCUCCUCGACUUUUUCGAAAAAAGUGAUCGACUUUUU